UAUGGGUUAACAAGUGUACAUGCUGAUCUGAUAUCAAGAAAGAGUAUUCAAUCACACUCCACUUUAGUUGUCAAUACAAUACAUCCUGUUUUUUGCUCAGAGAAGAUGCAACACAAGCCCACUUGAUUGGACAGUAGCUCUUUAAACCCCCUCCCCCCUCCCAACUCCUCUUAUUUUUCCUUCUGCUCUCUUCAUUUGUGCCCUGCCCAGCCUACAACAGUGAUUCUCACAUUUCUGGGCUCUUAUAUUGCCAUAUACUGUAUGUAUUGCAUUGCUGAAGCUAGAACCACGUGAACAUUGAAGACAGCCCUGAAAUACAGUCAACAGCGACAACGAGCGACACUGGGGCAUCGGGAACAUGUUCGUCUUUUCCACAAAACUUCUCUUCCUGGUUCUGGUCACCUGUUCAGCAGAAAAGAAAGGCAAUUUUGGAAAACUUACUGCCUGUAUCACUGAAGACAACAGCCUCAUGUUGGAAUGCAGGUACCCACAAUGUCCUGAGUCACCGUCCUUUAAUUGUAACUUCCUCACCACAGAGGACGGGGUCCUGUUGGGGAGCUCUUACAACAACUUUCAGACGAGAAAUGACUCAACCUUUGACAUUACAGCAAAAGGUUGGUGUCGGCUUAUUCUCAUUGGCCAUGCCCUAACUAAUUUCAAUGAGACAAAGAGUUAUAACUGUACUUUGAUACGGAAAGGUAUGGAAGAGAGGAAGAACAUCACUAUAAACUACAGGAACCCCCACAACAAACAACACAUCAAAGCUUGCUCUACCAUGGGGUUGAUGUUGCAUCAAGCUCCCACCCUGCUAUGGCCCGUGGUAUUCAUGUCACUAUGGAAGAUCCUUUCCUGAAUGCACAACCUACCCUCACAAGCUGAAGCUCAACUCUGUCUGAAUUAGGCUACUUUGUACAGAACACAUCAAAGCUUGCUCUACCAUGGGGUUGAUGUUGCAUCAAGCUCCCACCCUGCUAUGGCCUGUGGUAUUCAUGUCACUAUGGAAGAUCCUUUCCUGAAUGCACAACCUACCCUUACAAGCUGAAGCUCAACUCUGUCUGAAUUAGGCUACUUUGUACAGAACACAUCAAAGCUUGCUCUACAAUGGGGUUGAUGUUGCAUCAAGCUCCCACCCUGCUAUGGCCUGUGGUAUUCAUGUCACUAUGUAAGAUCAUUUCCUGAAUGCACAACAUACCCUUACAAGCUGAAGCUAAACUCUGUCUGAAUUAGGCUACUAUGUACAAUUCAUAACAUGAAAUUAAAAAAUAAAAUAUA